GUCCACACCGUAAACGAUGAGCACUAGGUGUCGGGUGAGCAAUCAUUCGGUGCCGCAGUUAACGCAUUAAGUGCUCCGCCUGGGGAGUACGCACGCAAGUGUGAAACUCAAAGGAAUUGACGGGGGACCCGCACAAGCAGCGGAGCAUGUGGUUUAAUUCGAAGCAACGCGAAGAACCUUACCAGGACUUGACAUCUCCCUGACAGGUCUUUAACCGGACCCUUCUUCGGACAGGGAUGACAGGUGGUGCAUGGUUGUCGU
rnacentral:rRNA from 1 species